AGCCUACCUACCUACCCUACCUCCUCGUGGUACUGGCCGGCGUACGAGUAACCUUAGGGAAGAUCGGGUAACCAACCCCGGUGGGAACUUUGGUCGUAUGCUGACAGGGAAGG
rnacentral:ribozyme from 1 species